CAUCUCCUGGUCUCCAGUGAGAUGAACCCUAAUUCCAAUUGGUCCCAAUAGCUUCAAAUUUCUCUACUUUCCCAUCUCAUUCUUUUUACAAAACCACUAACUCUACUUAUAACCCUUAUUCAUUCCCAUUCUCAUUUUCCGACACAACAAAAACAUCAUGGGUGUCAAAGGUUUCGUAGAGGGAGGCAUCGCUUCCAUCAUCGCCGGCUGUUCAACGCACCCACUUGAUUUAAUCAAGGUCCGCAUGCAGCUCCAGGGCGAAUCCAACGCUCCCAAACCGGUUCACAAUCUCCGACCCGCACUCGCCUUCCAAACCGGUUCAAACCUCCACGUGUCAGCCAUUCCGCAGGCCCGCGUGGGCCCCAUCGCGGUUGGCGUCCGCCUCGUUCAGCAAGAAGGCCUUGCCGCCCUCUUCUCCGGCGUCUCUGCCACCGUCCUCCGCCAG
rnacentral:lncRNA from 1 species